GAGACACCCUUAUGGGGCAGGACUUGCUUCAGUGGGGCUUUGGUGCUCACUGAGUCUGGCUCUUCAGUGUGUUACU
rfam:Myotis davidii contig156788, whole genome shotgun sequence.